AUUGAACGCUGGCGGCAUGCCUUACACAUGCAAGUCGAACGGCAGCAUGAUCUAGCUUGCUAGAUUGAUGGCGAGUGGCGAACGGGUGAGCAAUACAUCGGAACGUGCCCUGUAGUGGGGGAUAACUAGUCGAAAGAUUAGCUAAUACCGCAUACGACCUGAGGGUGAAAGUGGGGGACCGCAAGGCCUCAUGCUAUAGGAGCGGCCGAUGUCUGAUUAGCUAGUUGGUGAGGUAAAGGCUCACCAAGGCGACGAUCAGUAGCUGGUCUGAGAGGACGAUCAGCCACACUGGGACUGAGACACGGCCCAGACUCCUACGGGAGGCAGCAGUGGGGAAUUUUGGACAAUGGGCGAAAGCCUGAUCCAGCAAUGCCGCGUGUGUGAAGAAGGCCUUCGGGUUGUAAAGCACUUUUGUCCGGAAAGAAAUGGCUCUGGUUAAUACCUGGGGUCGAUGACGGUACCGGAAGAAUAAGGACCGGCUAACUACGUG
rnacentral:rRNA from 1 species